rnacentral:lncRNA from 1 species
UCGAAACAAAUAGGUUGAUCCCCGUUUCCAGGAAAAACGCUUUGCACCGGUCCAACACCCUCUCCACUUCUCGCCAUUUUUCAGAGUAAAAGAAUUAUGGCUUAGGGCGGAGCUUAAAGAACGAACUCGCACGGCCAACAGCCGCUGCAGUAGUACAAUUGAUGCCGGUAAGUUGGAAAUUUCUUUGAUUUUAAACGUGCUUCCAUUGAUGUUAUCGGAAAUGAAAAUUGAGUUAAUUGAAUUUAUUAGGGUUGUGCUUUUUCGGUUUGUAUUAAUUGGGCAAUGUGAAACUAUGUUGUUAUUUGAUCUAAAUGGGCUGCUGCUAGUUUUCUCUUUGUAGUUGACAACCUUAUUUCCUGUAUUCACAAUUUGUCAAUUGAGAAGAGCUCACAAUUUGGGUGAUUGAGCCAUGUAAUGAAGAUGAACACUAAAUUAUCCCAACAGAAACUCAGAAUGUACUAUCUAAAUUAUUCAGAGGAAGAAAUUAGCAGACCUCAGUUGUGACACUGCAGCCUCUUUCUAAAGCAGGCAAAGUUUCUUGGAUAGUAUGCUUAGCUAGAAUUUCCUCCGCAAUAUGCAUUUACUUGGUAUAAUUAGUAGUGUUGGACUGCCAUUUGAAGAAUGGAGUGUGCAUAGAUGAUAGGAACAAAAGGGAGAGCAAGUAAAAUAGGUUCCACAUAAUAUGAAACAUUGUAUUGUGUCAAACUACCUAUACCUGUUUGAUCUGAUCUUUUUGACAAGAAUGUAAUAGAAGAUGUCGUAGAAGACAUCCACUUGGACGCCAGCCAGUAAGAUUGAUCUAGUUCAGCUGUGGAUCUAGAAUUUUGGGUUUGAAAUGCAGGUCCUGGAAUAUAUAUCUAACCUUAUUUAUACUCUAUUUUCACACAUAUAUCAAUCUUUGACUGGAAGCCGAGUUUCUACAGAAACCUGAGAGUUGAUCUGCUACUUACCUAAUUAGCUCACAACUAGUGAGCUAGUCAUACGGCUUGCUAAGCACAAAGUAGUGUUUUGGAAAGCGUUAAGCGCAAAAAAGCGACGAGGCCUCGCUUCACAGAAGUGCUUUUUUUUUUCCCAUGUGAAGCGCAAUUUAACACAUAAAUAAAAAAAAUUAAAUAGGCAUAGAUAAAUGGCUAAGAACUCAUUAAAAAUAACAUAUUAAGCAAAUGGCUUGAUGCCAUUGAAUAAUCAAAUUAAAUUUACUACAAUCAACAACUAAAAAAAUAAUAAUUUAAUUCACUGAUAAAUUGUAGAAAACAGAAAACAGAGCAUAAUUGCAGAAAACAGAGCAUACAACAACAUAAAACAGAGCACUUUUAAUAACAGAAGAAGAAGAAGUCAUUUAGGGAACAAAAUGAG